AUCUACGGCCAUGCCACCCUCAUCCAUGCCACCCUCAUCCUGGAAUCUAAGUAUGGUCAGGCCUGGCCAGUACUUGGAUAGGAGACACCCCUAAGAAUACCAGGUGCUGUAGACU
rfam:Chlorocebus sabaeus isolate 1994-021 chromosome 6, whole genome shotgun sequence.